rnacentral:tRNA from 1 species
AGGGAUGUAGCUCAGCGGUAGAGCACUUGCCUAGCAUGUACAAGGCCCUGGGUUCCAUUCCCAGCAUUUUGU